rnacentral:misc_RNA from 1 species
UUAACUCAAAAGACAUCUUCAAUAAGAAAAUAAGAAAUCCAAAGUAAACACUAUCACAAUAUAAUGUACAUACAUGUAUGGUUGCAUAGCUAAGUUUAAUGUUAGCAAGAUUUUCUUUUUUUAAAGUAAAUAUACUCCUACUCUCCUAUUGUAUCCUCCAAAUGGUAAUUGUUACAAGCACUUUAAAACGUCUGUUACAGAACCUUGGAUCCUUUUUUGUCCACAAUCAGAGAUUGAUUCCCUAAUAAUUGGGCAAAGGUUUUAACAGUACCACGCUAUAUUAAAAAUGCUGUCAUCAAACUGCCUGGAGCAAGAACAACAUUGAAGCAUAGGAGAACAUAGGCAAGGCUUGCAGGAAGAACUGGCUGCUGCACAUAUUCCUUCCACCCAAGCUUGAUAGUUUCCACAACUCUAUCCAAUACUUAUCCAAAGAAAAAAGAAAUAAAUAUAGCAAGAGAUUACAACCCAUUAGAAUAAUAUUUUCUUGCAACUUUUACCUAAGCUGUUAACAUCGUCCAUAGCUGCUCCAGUUGACUCUCUGCAACAGGUCUGGGAAAAUCUGGCAUGGUCAAGCACCCCAGUAGACAGCUUGUUAGUCAACAAUGUGAGACCAAUCAUAACUGGCAACGACCAUAUCAUUAGACCAGUAGCAAGCUUUAAGCAGGUCACAGGAUCAUACUUGGAGAGAAGAACACCAAAUAAUGAUGCCCCACCCAUCUCACACAGGAGAUCAAUUCGAUUAAGAACAGCAUUUGCUUGUGCAAGCGCAAUUGGCCUAUUUAUUCCUGCUAACUGAACUAUAUUUAAACUAAUAGAAGAAGGUAUCCUGGGAGAAUGAUCCAUAAGUUUUCCAACCAAAGGGCCUCCAACAAUUAUUGCAAGCUUGGUGAAGAAACCCAUGACCGCCACUGUUAGAAAGCUAGGAUGAAUCAUUGCUAUAGCAGAAAGGCCAAGCAAAAUUCCAUAGUUGUUCCACUAAAUUUCCAGCUAGGCAACUAGCAUAAAAAGCUGAACAUAGUCCUCCAUGUUAGGAAAUACACAGGAUCUAAUAUAAUUUUUUAAUGAACUAUUUCAUAGGCUGUUUUUGGUACAUCCGUAUUCCAGACAAUAUUAAGCAACAACUGAUUUUCAGGAAAGGUAAAAAGGAAUGUAAAUGCAUCAUUAAACCAGCCUUGUUGGAACACUUUUUGAGCUAGAAAGCUGCAUGUUUGGGCAAAUAAAGUAUCUGCCACCAUUACAUAUUGGUCUAAAAUAAAAUGGAUGCCACACAUCAAAAUAACUCCACUCAAUGCAGCAUAUAAACAUUACUGGCAGAGAUAUACUAGUCUUACAUAGCAAAAUGUAAAAGAAAUUCUACAAGUACAGUUCUGGAGAUGCAAUGAACCCAAAUGCUACUAUGCAAGAUAACUAAAACAACUAUAUUACAGGCAUGUGAAGGCAUUGAAAAACAUAAAGAGAAUUUCUUAGUUCAGGAAAAAUACAACCUCUAAGAAUGCAAUAGGCUCUCGCUUAAUGACACAGUAAAGCUGAUUAAAAUUCUUGAUCAUAAAAGAAUCAGAUGCUUCUUAAACAUGGAAUUAUCAUUUUAAA